GGGUGUGAUCAUACUGGUAGUAAUGCACCGGAUCCAUCAGAACUCCGAAGUUAAGUGUGCUUGGGCGAAAGUAAUACUAGAAUGGGUGACCUCCUGGGAAAUCCUCAUAUUGCACCCC
rnacentral:rRNA from 1 species